rnacentral:rRNA from 1 species
UACAGAGGGGGCAAGCGUUGUUCGGAAUUACUGGGCGUAAAGGGCGCGUAGGCGGCCUGUUAAGUCGAACGUGAAAUCCCCGGGCUCAACCCGGGAACUGCGUCCGAUACUGGCAGGCUUGAAUUCGGGAGAGGGAUGUGGAAUUCCAGGUGUAGCGGUGAAAUGCGUAGAUAUCUGGAGGAACACCGGUGGCGAAGGCGGGUCUCUGGGCCACUACUGACGCUGAGAAGCGAAAGCAUGGGGAGCGAACAGG